AUUCUCCACAUUGCUGUCAGUGUUGCAGUGUCCAAAUUCUGAAUAGGAGCUUAAGGUCUGUUGGUUUUCCUGGGGUUAUUAAUCAGCAGUUGUCCAACCAAUGAUUAAAUAAUAGUGUCAUUCUUGUUCUUUUUUUGUGUCCACAGUUUCUUUGCAAGUAAACUACAGCCUGGAUUCCUCACAAGUGUUCUCACAGAUGAACAGAUGAAGAAGCCUGAUCCAUACACCUCCAGGCCUCCGUGCAGGUGAUGGACCAUUACUACAUCAUUGCCUACGAUGCCUCAGGAGAAAGAGAAUGGUCUUGAUUAGACAUUCAGAUUUGAAUAUAGCAGGUGGCGCAGCAGAGCGGGUGGUGGAAGCAACAUCUUGGAGGUCAUCCAGGACUCCAUUAUGAACUGAAGCACGACUGCAGGGGAGAAGAGAAGAAAAGGAUGACGAGAAGAGAUGGAAGGGGAGACGAGUUCAAUUCACGGGCUGAUGUUCAGAGGUGGAAUGACCUUGGCUGCAGUCUGAAUUCUGAUGACCAGUCCUGAAGCAGAUGUCACAUGUCUUCCGAACCAUGCAGGACCAGCGCAAAGGUUUAUUGCCUCCUGAUUGGUCGAGCCUCCAGCCCCCAUGCUUCCUGAAUGGCAGGCAGCCUAGUUGAGCUGCAAAUCCGUUUGACAAAUCACAAAUGAAGAUACAAGACCACUUGAGUAACAGUUACCGGCAGCUAAGAGCCAACCUUGGCCCUAUUAUUCUGGACUGUAGAAAGAGUACAGGAUAGGAGCCAAGUUUUUAAAACAUUACUGUCAGACUCAGAGGAUCACUGUGCAUCCCAUUUGCAGGGAAGUUCUCGAUAUAGCGACAAAAAACAUAUUGACAUUUAAACAUCCUUAUGGUUAAAUUACAGUUUUGCAAGAGGGAUUUUUCUGUUUAUUGUUACUGUGAAAAAUACUUCAAAAUCUUUUACCGGUCAGUCAUUGACGUUGAUCCAUAGUGCAGGAGUCACCAUCCUUUUUGAAACAGAGGGCUACUUGUACGGUACCUAUUAAUAUAAUACUUGUUUGAAACAGACUUCCUGAACAAAAUAAUAAUAAUCCAAAAGAAAACUAAUGCUGUUCCGUGAAGUUGUAGG